GGGGGGGAUCGAUACAAAUGGCGACCGGAAAGACAAUUGAUAUUGGUCGAUACUAUAUCGAUAUUUAUCAGUUCUGUUGUUUCCAUAGAAGUGCACGUUUUUGAUUGAUUUUACACAUUGUUUUUGGGCACCUGAAGGGUUUGAAGGUAAAAAAAGGGAAUCAUUUGAAAGAGAGUUAAAGGCCUACCAAAACCCACUACUACUGACCACGCAGUCUGAUAGUUUAUAUAUCAAUGAUGAAAUAUUAACAUUGCAACACAUGCCAAUACGACAUUUUUAGUUUACUAAAUUGCAAUUUUAAAUUUCGCGCGAGGUAUGAUGACGCGUGCGCGUGACGUUUUGUUCCAGCCCGAUCCCAGCUAUAAGUCGUCUCCUUUAAUCGCAUAAUUACACAGUAUUCUGGACUUCUGUGUUGCUCAAUCUUUUGUAAUUUGUUCAAUUAAUAAUGGAGACGUCAAAGAAGAAAGAUGUAGGUGGGAAGCGGUGUUUUGCAGCUGCCUUUAGCAACACAAACACAGCCGUUGUUUCCUUGUUUACAUUCCCGAAGGUGAAGCUUUACUAUGGAACAGGGCGGUCAAGCAAACAUGGUUCACGACCACAUGUCAAUCGGCAGGUUUCGGUGAGAAAAUUGUGGUAAUAAGUCGGCUCUUACCAUAGACAUGAGCGGAGCUUGCGUCGUUCCUCGUGCACCUGUCAAAGAGGCAGCUGCGGGCUCUCUUGCCUCCUCAGACCGGCCGCCACCGAACGUGGGAUGCUUUCACCGUGGAGUAGGAGGGUAAAAAGCUCAGCCCAGCCCGACCGGCUGCCUUCGCCUCACCUCGUCGAGGAACGUGGCUUCUCUCAGAGACACUGGCGGUCACCACACCCCUCCGACUUUCAGUUUGUCCCUUUCGUGGUCUUGGGGGGUUGCUGGAGCCUAUCUCAGCUGCAUUCGGGCGGAAGGCGGUGUUACACCCUGGACAAGUCGCCACCUCAUCGAGGGCCAACACAGAUAGACGGACAACAUUCACACACUAGGGACCAUUUAGUGUUGCCAAUCAACCUAUCCCCAGGUGCAUGUCUUUGGAGGUGGGAGGAAGCCGGAGUACCCGGAGGGAACCCACGCAUUCACGGGGAGAACAUGCAAACUCCACACAGAAAGAUCCCGAGCCCGGGAUUGAACUCUGGACUACUCACGACCUUUGUAUUGUGAGGCAGACGCACUAACCCCUGUUUCACCGUGCUGCCCUAAGACUUAGUCAUUUUAAAAACAGCACUGGACAUCAUAACGGCGGCUACAUUUUUGAUGUUAAAGGUCUAAAAAAAUGUAGAACGUCCAGCGGGACGGAUUGAAAAUCUUAACGGGCCUCAGUGUGCCAGUGGGCCAGUAUUUUGCACAGGUCUGCUGUAACAUAACAAAAAGUGGAAAAAGUGAAGCCCUGUGGAUACUUUCUGGAUGCACUGAAAAUUGCAGAAAAAGUGUAUUCCAUAACACUUUGUCCAAACAAUGAAGAGGUAAUGUUUGACUGUUUGCCAGAGAAUACUACAAGCCCAAGAUGGUGAUAUUUCAUGACAAGAGUGAGUCAAUAUUAGGAUGAGAUUGUAGUUUGUGUACAGAUAGUGAUGCAGGAAUAACAAUUACACACUGUCAUUAAUUCCCCCCAAAUAGGUUUCCAUAUCUGACAGGGCAUACAGUAUACCUCAGUUCUUGCCAAAAUUCCACCCCGAUCUGCUCAGCGGCUGUCACAAGGCCCUGACUCCCUCCAGCACGUCUCCUCUGACAGCAUCAGGCAGACAGACAGGUAAUAGUCAUGUCUGUGAAAUGCGAGUUACAAAUAAGGGGCUUUCUUUUCAUCAUGAAUUGAUGUUGGAACAGUAGAAAGAAAGAAUAAACAUGCUUGAACGUUC